UACGGAGGAUGCGAGCGUUAUCCGGAUUUAUUGGGUUUAAAGGGUGCGUAGGCGGACGCUUAAGUCAGCGGUAAAAUUGCGGGGCUCAACCUCGUCGAGCCGUUGAAACUGGGUGCCUUGAGUGGGCGAGAAGUACGCGGAAUGCGUGGUGUAGCGGUGAAAUGCAUAGAUAUCACGCAGAACUCCGAUUGCGAAGGCAGCGUACCGGCGCCCAACUGACGCUGAAGCACGAAGGCGAGGGUAUCGAACAGG
rnacentral:rRNA from 1 species